ensembl:lincRNA
GUUUGUGAAAGUGUAAAUGAUACAUGAAAGUAGAGUUUGCCAAAGUCUCGUCUCAGAAUUUUUAUAAUCAUCUUUCUCCUAAGGCAGCUGUGCACACAAGUGACCAUUUGCCUGAAGGAGCUAGAAUUUCUAUCAGUGUUUUUGAAACCUACCUGAGAAGUAAAAUAUGACAUUUCACUUUUUCUUUCUUAACACGACUGACUUCUCUGAUAUGUGCUUAUUGUCCACGUGUAAUUCUUUUUUUCUUUCCUGAUUUGUUUUUUCCUACCCGUGUUUUAUUCUUAGAAUCAUCAGUUUGGAUGUUCCAUGGAUUCUAAGUAAUCUAGUUGGGAAAUAAGAUCAAGAUACUCAAACUGAAGAGGGAAUGUGCUUUGUAGACAGGGGACUUUGUGUAGAACUCAAAAAGUCAACCAGAGACCUGCAGACGUGCUGCCUUUCGUCAUACACAGUCCCUUUGCAGAACAGAGCAUCUUCCCUGUCUAACUUGUUGAGACCAGAAUCCAUCACAGUGUUUCUUGAUGUCAUGGCUGAAUUUUUGAUUGAAACACUUCUCAGCAUUGGAUUAAAACAAAACAGUGAAGAGACCUUGAGCAGGUAAGACUGAACUGCUCUACAUUUUUCAAAUGUGUGUGAGUGAGAAUGUUUCUACUCUGGAGUCUAGAUUUCCAGUGGUUACACUCCCAGCUUAAUCCCACUUCACAGGGUACCAAAUGUAUGUGAUGAGUUGGGGGCCAUCAUUUCCAGUCUAUUAAUCUGAUGAAGGAUUUGGAUAAUCCUUCUUUGUAAAUUCUACAGACCUAAUAAAGAUUGACCAUAUUCUUUCUGAAGAAAAAUAUCCAAUUAUUAGCUCACAAAGAUAAACAUGAUGUAUUUGGGGUAGCUCCUAUUCUAGGACAAGGUAGAUUAAAAAUAUUUUACAGGUUGUGUAUUGUACAAAAUGCUUCUAAACAAAGUCAUAUGAAGACUUUAUUUUCCAGGAGCCAUCAAAAUGCCAUUCUUAUGAGAAAAAAAAUUCUCAAAUGAAAUUUUUAAAAAAUUGUAUAAUGAAUCCCCUGCUGAUAUUCAUAUAGCACUUAUUUGACCUUGCAAUGGAUAAGUCCCUUUCUAAAUUCCUAUAUAGAAAUCAAGGGUCACCAAAAGGACAAUAAGGAGACAGGUUUCCAAAUCCACUCAGUUUCCAGAGGUCUCUGCUCUACUAGGUGACAAGAUUGAGGGUUUUAGCCUUGUCCAGAACUUUCUCUUCUAUUUAGAAGAAACUUCAGCCGAACCACUCAGUGCUUCCCAGGCAUGUGGAAAUCCAAUUCUAGGUUUGCGUUUGAGUAAGGAAGAUGAAGUAGCAACUGUGACCUUUUCUAGUAUGCAUGAGUAAUAGAUGGAACUAUGGAGUGUGAGGGAGGCAGAAGUAUCUCAGUUUGCAAUAUCCAAAAAGCGGAGCCUAAAAAUAAAAUAUAAAUGCAGGGAGUUUAGUUAGGAGUUAAAGAAAAUACCUGACAGUGAGUAGAGAAUUAAGGCAAGCAAAUGAAGAGAAGGCAAUGAAGUGUGAGGCCAAGUCAGUGACCCUGAUGGGUGUCAUCAGUUGAUUAAUUUCCCCGAAGCUGGUGUGGCAGCAGGUGCAGGACAAACACUUCCAGGAUGCCAACCUGGGAGUUGAGGCGGUGUGUGUUCAAACACCAACUUCCUUCCGCUGUUGUUUAAAGGAUCCCUGGAAAGAAUCUUAAUUCCCCAGGUCUUCCAGCCAGCCACACAGUGGUAAAAGAAAACUCUGGCAGCUGAACAGAGCCGCUUGGGUCCUGAAGUGUGUGUGGGUCUUGCAUUUAGACUCCAGCUUGCACUGAGGGCACUGGAAGAGCAUCCACCAUGUCAGCUUAGAAGAUCAAGGCUCACCUUGCCCCCUAAGAGAAAACUUAACUUGCAGUUUGACCUUAAGGUUAUUUCCCCUCCCGGACCUCACUUUGCUCAUUCUGAAUGAGAGCUGGAUGAAGAGGUACUGGAACAAAGCCAUGCAAGUCUCCAAGUUCAUGCACACAUUUAUUUCCUGAAGCUCCUGUGUAGUUUUGCAUCCUGCACGCAGCAAUUUCUUCAGUAACUCACAUCAUCAACUGAUGGAUAACUUGGAAGAUUCUUUUUCAAAUUCUUGAUGGGGCGCAGGAGACUCGUCGAUAUCUCUCCUUGGAUUAAAACUUCUGGUGCCUCCUGCAGCCUCGUGAAAUUGCUAUUGAAAGCAGCAAGAUGAACAUCAAACUAUUUUGCCACAGAGCUUGAUGUUUUUAGAUACAGUAGCCAGAUUAGCCAUGUUUCCAUUUGUAAAGGAAGAACUUUGGGGGUAUGAUGCACUUUGAGAAGAUAAACUCAAAAUGGAAAUAUAUUUUCUCAAAGCUUGGCUAUCUUGCACUUUGUUAUUAUAAUGUUACUAUUUGCUGGAAUGGUUAAUCUGUCUUACAACUCAUCUGCAAACAGUGGAGACAAACAAAGUUGAAACAUCCGAAUAAGUGCAACGGGGAGUUGAUAAAUCUACUUUACACUAGAGAAAGCCGGACAACGGAGUCUUUGACAACAAGGGAUGUUCACCCAUCCAUUGUCACUGAGUCUUGUGAGUGCUCCAGCCACCAUGUGCACCCAUCGAGCAGGAUCUUGACUGUAUUUAUAAGCUGGCUUUUAUCAGACUAAGUUAAAUCUUCCCGAAUGGCUUCUUCUUCAGGUAACCCCUUACAUGUUUACUGAAGGAAAAAUGAAAAAACAAUAAAACAAUGUGACAGA